UCAUCAAGGGCGAUCGACGGGUAGCUGAGCUGAUAGAGGCGACAGUCAACUGGGAACUGAGACACGCCAGACUUCUUACGGAAGCAGCAGUGGGACUAUGCACAUGGCGAAGCUUGAUGCAGCGACGCGCGUGAGGGAUGACGGCUCGGGUGUAACUCUUUCAGCAGGAGAGCGCAAGUGACGGUACUGCAGAAGAAGCACGGCUAACUACGUGCCAGCAGCCGCGGUAAUACGUAGGGUGCGAGCGUGUCCGGGAAUUAUUGGGCGUAAAGAGCUCGUAGGCGGCCUGUCGCGUCGGAUGUGAAAGCCCGGGGCUCAACCCCGGGUCUGCAUUCGAUACGGGCAGGCUGGAGUGUGGUAGGGGAGAUCGGAAUUCCUGGUGUAGCGGUGAAAUGCGCAGAUAUCAGGAGGAACACCGGUGGCGAAGGCGGAUCUCUGGGCCAUUACUGACGCUGAGGAGCGAAAGCGUGGGGAGCGAACAGGAUUAGAUACCCUGGUAGUCCACGCCGUAAACGUUGGGAACUAGGUGUUGGCGACAUUCCACGUCGUCGGUGCCGCAGCUAACGCAUUAAGUUCCCCGCCUGGGGAGUACGGCCGCAAGGCUAAAACUCAAAGGAAUUGACGGGGGCCCGCACAAGCAGCGGAGCAUGUGGCUUAAUUCGACGCAACGCGAAGAACCUUACCAAGGCUUGACAUACACCGGAAACGUCCAGAGAUGGGCGCCCCCCUUGUGGUCGUGUACAGGUGGUGCAUGGUUGUCGUCAGCUCGUGUCGUGAGAUGUUGGGGUAAGUCCCCGCAACGAGCGCAACCCUUGUUCCUGUGUUGCAGCGAGUAAUGUCGGGACUCCACAGGAGACUGCCGGGGUUCACUCGAGAUGGUGGGACGACGUCAUUCAUCAUGCCCUUAUGUCUGGGACUGCCACAUCGUGCUACAUGCGUACAAAGGGCUGCGAAUGGUC
rnacentral:rRNA from 1 species